rnacentral:ncRNA from 2 species
GUAUUAUACAGAACGAAGGGAGAGAUUAGGCUCUAUGAACUUCUGGCAACCUGCCCACCAAAGCAAGGUGCUAAUUCCUACCCAUGUGGAACUAUAAAAA